GAGAGAGGGGGACACAGAAUCUGAAGCAGGCUCCAGGUUCCGAGCUGUCAGCACAGAGCCGACGCAGGGCUGGAGCUCACAAGCCUGAGAUCAUGACCUGGGCCGAAGUCAGAUGCCCAACCUACCAAACCAUCAUGGCGCCCCAGCAAAAAGUACUUUUAAAUUAAGAGGGCCCUUAAAAUUUGUAAGCUCUGGCCCCAUAAAACCUGGACCUGUCCUGUUGGCAAGAUGUCCUUGGGAGGUUAAAACUAAUAGGAUUUAGAAUGCAAAAGGAGGUACCACUCAUCGAAAUUGAAGAUGAGGUAGAAGACAUGGAUGAAUAUGCAGAGAGAGACAGAGCAUGAACGGGGGAGGGGCAGAGAGAGAGGGAGACACAGAAUCGGAA